CAGCAGCCACGGUAAUACGUAGGGGGCGAGCGUUGUCCGAAGUUACUGGGCGUAAAGAGCGCGUAGGCUGGUCUUUAAGUGAGUGGUGAAAGGUUCGGGCUCAACCCGGACACUGCCUUUCAUACUGAGGACCUUGAGUGUGGGAGAGGCGAGUGGAAUGGUCGGUGUAGCGGUGAAAUGCGUAGAUAUCGAUCGGAACACCCAUGGCGAAGGCAGCUCGCUGGCCUAACACUGACGCUGAGGCGCGAAAGCGUGGGGAGCAAACAGGAUUAGAUACCCCCGUAGUCCCUGUCUCUUAUAC
rnacentral:rRNA from 1 species